rnacentral:rRNA from 1 species
GCAAGUCGAACGGGACUUGAUUUGUAGCAAUACCGAUCAAGUCUAGUGGCGAACGGGUGCGUAACACGUGAGCAAUCUGCCGGGAAGUGGGGGAUAACUCGUCGAAAGGCGAAUUAAUACCGCAUAUGGCCAGGGAGGACAUCCUUCCGAAGCCAAAGCCGCAAGGCGCUUCCUGAUGAGCUCGCGGCCUAUCAGCUAGUUGGUGAGGUAAUGGCUCACCAAGGCUAUGACGGGUAGCUGGUCUGAGAGGACGACCAGCCACACUGGAACUGAGACACGGUCCAGACACCUACGGGUGGCAGCAGUCGAGAAUUUUUCACAAUGGGGGAAACCCUGAUGGAGCGACGCCGCGUGGAGGAUGAAGGCCCUCGGGUCGUAAACUCCUGUCAAACGGGAACAAGAAAGUGAUAGUACCGUUAGAGGAAGAGACGGCUAACUCUGUGCCAGCAGCCGCGGUAAUACAGAGGUCUCAAGCGUUGUUCGGAUUCAUUGGGCGUAAAGGGUGCGCAGGCUGUGGGGUAAGUCGGAUGUGAAAUUUAGGGGCUCAACCCCUAAACUGCAUUCGAUACUGCUCCGCUAGAGGACUGUAGAGGAGAUUGGAAUUCACGGUGUAGCAGUGAAAUGCGUAGAUAUCGUGAGGAAGACCAGUGGCGAAGGCGAAUCUCUGGGCAGUUCCUG